rnacentral:rRNA from 1 species
UACGUAGGGUGCGAGCGUUAAUCGGAAUUACUGGGCGUAAAGCGUGCGCAGGCGGUUUGUUGUGUCGGCGGUGAAAGCCCCGGGCUUAACCUGGGAAUGGCCGUUGAAACUGGCGAACUGGAGUGUGGCAGAGGGGGGUGGAAUUCCGCGUGUAGCAGUGAAAUGCGUAGAGAUGCGGAGGAACACCGAUGGCGAAGGCGGUUCUCUGGGACGGUACUGACGCUGAGACGCGAAAGCGUGGGGAGCGAACAGG